CAGCCUGCCCAGUGACAAAGUUCAACGGCCGCGGUACCCUAACCGUGCGAAGGUAGCAUAAUCACUUGUUCUUUAAAUGAGGACUUGUAUCAACGGCACUACGAGGGCUAUACUGUCUCCUUUUUCUAAUCAGUGAAACUGAUCUCCCCGUGAAGAAGCGGGGAUCAAAAUAUAAGACGAGAAGACCCCAUGGAGCUUUAAACUUACCACCCACCUCUGUGGUACCACACCAUUCAACACAAGAGACCUGCGUGCUAGUUUUAGGUUGGGGGGACCACGGAGUAUAAUUAAACCUCCACAACAAAUGGGCUAAUGCCCUUAUCCACGAGACACAACUCUAAGAAUUACUAAACUAAUGCUUAUGACCCAAUAUUCGAUCAAUGAACCAAGUUACCCUGGGGAUAACAGCGCAAUCUACUUCAAGAGCCCCUAUCGACAAGUAGGUUUACGACCUCGAUGUUGGAUCAGGGUAUCCCGGUGGUGCAGCCGCUACCGAUGGUUCGUUUGUUCAACGAUUAAAACCCUACGUGAUCUGA
rnacentral:rRNA from 1 species